rnacentral:rRNA from 1 species
GAUGAACGCUGGCGGCGGGCCUAAUACAUGCAAGUCGAGCGAACGGACGAGAAGCUUUCUUCUCUGAUGUUAGCGGCGGACGGGUGAGGAACACGUGGAUAACCUACCUAUAAGACUGGGGUAACUUCGGGGAACCUGAGCUAAUACCGGAUGAUAGUUUGAACCUCAUGGUUCAAAAGUGAAAGACGUUCUUGCUGUCACUUAUAGAUGGAUCCUCGCUGCAGUAGCUAGUUGGUAAGGUAACGGCUUACCAAGGCAACGAUGCAUAGCCGACCUGAGAGGGUGAUCCGCCAACCUGGAACCGAGACAAGGUCCAGACUCCUAAGGGGGGCAGCAGUAGGGAAUCUUCCGCCAUGGGCGAAAGCCUGACGGAGCAACGCCGCGUGAGUGAUGAAGGCCUUCGGAUCGUAAAACUCUGUUAUUAGGGAAGAACAUACGUGUAAGUAACUGUGCACAUCUUGACGGUACCUAAUCAGAAAGCCACGGCUAACUACGUG